rnacentral:lncRNA from 1 species
AGUCCGGAAUCCGCGGCCAGGGACCCGCGCAGGCCCCUCCUUAGCUGAGGGGCGGCCGGGUACUCGGGUCCCGACCCGCGACCACCGCACCCAUCACCACCACAGCGGGAACUGCCCGGCGGCCCCCAGAAGCCCCGGCCCGGCCGCAGAGGUGGGCCCCCGAGCACAGAGGCCCCGAAACUCGGCUCGCAGCCCUCAGCCCCAAUGUCGGGGGGCGCGGUGGCCCCGGGCGACCCCCCACCCCGCUCCUGGAGCCCACAGGUGGCCCCACAACUUCGCGGCCCGCGCUGCGCCCGCGGGGCCUAGCACGCUGCCGCGGGACCUGCCCAACGUGGAGUGUGUGCCUGCCCCCUCCCGCCCCGGCCCCCGGCGCAGCCCUUAC